rnacentral:misc_RNA from 1 species
AACUAUUCUUAGAUUGCUCUUCAGAUUCUUUGACACCCAUUCUGGAAAUAUAAAAAUAGAUGGUCAAGAUAUUCGGGAGGUUACCCUUGAGAGUCUUCGGAAAUCUAUUGGCGUUGUUCCACAGGAUACUGUUCUUUUCAAUGAUACUAUAUUUCACAAUAUCCGCUAUGGGCGGCUCUCUGCCUCCGAGGAGGAGGUCUACAAUGCUGCUCGACAAGCUGCAAUCCAUGAUACUAUUAUAAAAUUCCCACAGAAGUAUGCUACAGUGGUGGGAGAACGUGGACUAAAGUUAAGUGGUGGUGAGAAGCAAAGAGUUGCACUAGCACGUGCAUUCCUUAAAGCGCCUGCGAUAUUGCUUUGUGAUGAAGCCACGAGCGCACUUGACAGCACGACAGAAUCAGAAAUACUAAGUGCUUUAAAGUCUCUAGCAAUUAACCGGACUGCAGUUUUUAUUGCCCAUAGGCUCACUACAGCUAUGCAAUGUGAUGAGAUCAUAGUGUUGGAGAAUGGGAAAGUGGUGGAACAAGGGCCACAUGAAUUCCUUCUAUCAAGGCCUGGGAGAUAUGCACAACUUUGGUCACAGCAGAACACAGUGGAUGGACUUGAUGUGGCGAUCAAGUUGAACCCAUGAUAUGCUUCUUUCUUCCUGAAUAGGAAAGAAACAAAUUAUGACUUGACCAGCGAGUUUGCCCAAUCAUCUCACUUCUUUCAUCAAUCCAACAAAGUAUAUCAGUUUCCGAUAAAACAGUUUCACCCUCACUACCAUGUUUAAUCCGUUGAUGUAGUGGGGGGCACCUGUGUUAAUCCACAAGUCAAACUAAACUUGUCAAUGAUUAUAGGCAUUUAGUUUUGUUAGAAGUGGUGAUAUUUUCAAUUGAUUAGAAGCAUCUAUGUAUUAAUCAGUGUAGUGCGCACUUGUUAUUUUUGGAGAGCCAAGGAUUGUGAUUUAUGAAGUUUAGAAUCCCUAUUCCCUAGCUUACUGUUAAGAUCCAGCCUUUGGUGUUCGUAGUCGAUUAGACAUAUUAUACACCUCCACAUAACACACUAAAUUGUGUUCAGUAUCUAAAAUGUCACUUGCUCUAUUAUGAGGUAUCUA